AGCUCAGGUACAUCACAUCCAGACAGUCAUACAAUCCUACACCGGCAGAGCCAAGCUAUAAAUGCUGCUCUUUCUCCGCGGUGGCCUGGGGCGCAGGUGAUGUGCCUGGCUGCCCGCCCAUGCCGGCUUGUGGCUCCAUGGUGAGAUCGAUCUGUGCGCCAAGUCGGCAGUUCCCGCUUGGUGGCCUGUCACAGUAAGCCCCAACCCUAGUAUGUGGUCUACUAUGCCACAUGAUGGCUGGCUGCUCCUCUCCUAGGCCUACUUGCAUACAUACAUUAUCGCCAUCCAGGAAAACUCCAUCGUGUGGGAACCAUGCAUACAAUUGCCACCAUGUCACUAGAAACUGGGCAUGGCAAUAUCUGCUGGUCCCGACGUACGUACGUACCGGAGUUUCCUUGGAUGAUGAUGAUCGUGUAGGUACGUCUGGGAACGGGCCAUCCUAUGGCAUAAGUACACUGCAUACUGGUACAUAUGGUUUAUUGUAGCAGCUCACCAAGUAGCACGAACUACCGAAAUGGCACAUGCAUGCAUGUAGCUAGAAGGCCACCGAUACUUGUCGAUUUUGUUUUGCUUGAAGCAUGCAUAUUCAUAGCCCUCCCUCAUGUUGAAAUAUUGCUCCAAAAGGUAAGGUGGAUUUUAGCCUUUCCAGCUGGUGCUUUACCUAUAUAUUAACAAUCAUGAACUGCAUCAGGAAACACAUAUCUUCAGUGCAAUGCGGUGACUGUUUCAUUAAGAAUAUGUGCAUGUGCAUAAUCGGGAACACCGACCAAAAUGGCAUUUAUCUCCUCUAGCAGAGGUUGUGCAAUGGAGACCAAGACCAUGACAUCUUCACCAAAAUACCCAGGAUCCUGGCAGCUCCCCAUCAGCAACUGAAUGAAGAUGUCUCUUUCCGGAAUAAGACACAAUGCUACCUGAAAGUUUGCAACUAUGCUCGCGACAUUAGUUCAGUGGACACAACUCAAACCAGCUAAUGGCUGCAAUAACAGCUUGAUAUUACUAAUGUAUUGCCAUUUAUCAAAAGUAAUGAACUAGAUUUAUCAGGUGAACAAUCUCCUGAAAAUUGCUAGCUUGUGCAGUCGUGUAAAACUAAAAGUCGUGAUGAUGAACA